CUGCUUUGCCUCUCUAAUAGUUUGCUUUGUCCCUCAGGAAAGUCACUUGCAGAACUGUGUGCAUAAAUGUGACAGCUAAUGCACGAUAUUCUACUAUAGUUCUUACAUGAUGCUUCAGAGAAAAGGAUGCCUCUUCAUGAAGAGGAAUCAUGACCACAUCGUGCACUUAUGCAAGGUUGGGUAGAUUUUGGGGUGGAACGAGCAUCGGCUUUGGAAACGCAGCUGCUGCUUCCCCGCACUGGCACUGAAGUCCAAUGCUUCCCUCCAGUGGUGAAACGUCUUCUUACAUGGUAAAGGCGCCUUUCAUCCUCCGCGUUUGAAGGUCAAUCCUUAUCGUGAGAAGCGUUAACAUUUCUACAGAACAUGAUAUAUAAUCCUAAAUGCUAUUUUUUUCCUAAAAGUGCGGGAUAAAACGGAGAUGCUGCACAUUCCAACUUUUACAAUAACUGGAGGAUUUAAUGUAUUCAUUCUUAAUUUUUGAUCUGCUUUUUAAAGAGGAUUAAUUUGGCAAAUUUUCUCAGACCUUCUGUUUUAAUAUCAG
rnacentral:lncRNA from 1 species